UGUUAUCACAUUUCUAGCUUUGUAUACCGUUUUGCUUUACAAAUUUAUAAAUAAACCAUUGCGUUUCACAAUUUAAAGUCGAUUGUUAACAUUGGUGAAUCAUUAAAUCAAAAUUCAUAAGCAUUCUUGUGCUGAUAAGCUAACUAGCUAUUCAAAAUGGAUGACGAAUUAACUUUAAGAGAUUAUGGUGAUUUUAUAAUGGAUUAUAUCAAUUAUCCCAUCUGUCAAAAUUGUGGUGACAAUACGAAUUCAAAAUUCAUCAUGGAAGGAUUCAUAUAUCUAUGUGAGAAAUGUUACGAUGAAUUGAAUGCAAACCAGUCGAUUUCUCUGGAUCUUACAACACACGUUUUGCCUGUUAUUGAAUUCGAAAAUCCACCUAUCAUGCUAUCUAUUUCAUCAUUGUGAAAAAACAUCUAAAUGGAAGUGUUCAAAGACGGCUUAUAAUUAUUGUGACGACUGCCAUGUAACCAACUGUUUAAUCAAAGAGAAAAAAAAUUUUACAUGUAAACCAAAAGCUCUUUUUCAUGCUGGUAAAGAAUGCUGUCAGAUCUGUAAAAACUUGAAUUCAGAAUACAAGAAUUCUGCAGGACAAUCUUUUUGCUAUCGUUGCUUUAAGACACAUCCCCAUUCAUCAUCUAUCGUAAAGAAAUCUCAACCAUUAAAGAAUAUAUUAAAUGAAA